UUCACCGAGUCUCUGCCCGCAGGGUGCCUCAGUCCAUGGGCGCUCAUGUCCUGUCAAACCUCCGAGGACAGCACCACAGGGACAGCUAGCCUCACAGAAACAGCAUCAAGAGGACCACCAGGCUGUGUUUCCACGGUCACUCCCAGAUGACAGCCAGACUAAGCCUGAGCGACAAAGAUGAAGAACUUCUCGUAAAGCGUUCACCUCAGACUAAGCGUGCUGUAGGGGACGGACGGGACAAGGUUGUGAUCCAACUUAGCUAGUCACUUAGCUAACACUAGCAUGCGCAGUUUGAGUGCUCACAGCGGGAGUAAAGACAGCUGGCGGCGAUUAAAAGUCGGAGGUGGAACUAUCCGCUCUCGUUUUCACAGAAAACACAGCACUCGCCAGAUCUGGACCUGGACUUGAAAAUUUGCUGCAUUCAGACUCUGAAGAUGAGGUGACUUGGACUCAAACCGGGACACUGGCAACUCCUGGACUCGACUGCACUACUGGUGUGUCCAACCUCCUCUUUUUUAUCACACCGUGCACUUUGCUGUGGAACUGGAUGUGAGCUUUCCACGUGAGUGAUUGAUAGAAACAUUAUAUAACCAACAUAAUCCAUAACAUGAUCCACUUCCACCUUCCUUUUAAUAAGCAGUCUUAAUUUGUCUCAGUUCCAACCUUGCCCACAGCUGACAUGUGUUGCAAAGAAAGAGCACAAUACAAACAUGACAUGCACACUCCAGCCUCCCCCUCACCACCCACGCACACCCAGCAGUACUCCGGGCAGAUGUGGAUCCUACUCUACACUACUGCUGACACUGAUAAACCCUAUAGCCCAUUGGCUGGCUCUUAUGUCGCCUCCCCUCUUAAUCCAGGGCAGCCAGGCCCACAGUGGAGCAGGAGCCAUC